rnacentral:lncRNA from 1 species
GGGAUGGAACCCAGGGCUGGAACCCAGAGCCAGAACGGAUCCCAGAGCUGGAACCCGGAGCUGGAACCCAGGGCUGGAUCCCAGAGAUGGAAUGGAUCCCAGAUUCCAGAGCCAGAAUGGAACCCAGAGCUGGAUCCCAGAGCCAGAAUGGAUCCCAGAGCUGGAACCCGGAGCUGGAACCCAGAGCCAGAUUGGAUCCCAGAGCCAGAACGGAUCCCAGAGCUGGAACCCAGAGCCAGAAUGGAUCCCAGAUUCCAGAGCCAGAUCCAAGACCCAGAUCCCAGAUGCCAGAGCCAGGAUGGAACCCAGGGCUGGAACCCAGAGCUGGAACCCAGAGCCAGAUCCAGGACCCAGAUCCCAGAUCCCAGAGCCAGAAUGGAUCCCAGAGCUGGAACCCGGAGCUGGAAUGGAUCCCAGAGCCAGAAUGGAUCCCAGAUCCCAGAGCUGGAUCCCAGACUCCAGAGCCAGAUCCAAGACCCAGAUCCCAGAUGCCAGAGCCAGAAUGGAACCCAGAGCUGGAACCCAGAGCUGGAACGGAUCCCAGAGCUGGAUCCCAGAGCUGGAUCCCAGAGCCAGAACAGAUCCCAGAUCCCAGAGCUGGAUCCCAGAUUCCAGAGCCGGAUCCAAGACCCAGAUCCCAGAUUCCAGAGCCAGAAUGGAACCCAGAGCUGGAACCCAAAGCUGGAACCCAGAGCCAGAUCCAAGACCCAGAUCCUGGAUCUCAGAGCCAGAAUGGAUCCCAGAGCUGGAACCCAAAGCUGGAACCCAGAGCCAGAUCCAAGACCCAGAUCCUGGAUCUCAGAGCCAGAAUGGAUCCCAGAGCUGGAACCCAGAGCCAGAAUGGAUCCCAGAGCUGGAUCCCAGAUCCCAG